CCUUGUCAUACAUUCGUCACAGU
rnacentral:miRNA from 10 species